rnacentral:misc_RNA from 1 species
GAUGAAGAACGUAGCGAAAUGCGAUAAGUAAUGUGAAUUGCAGAAUUCAGUGAAUCAUCGAAUCUUUGAACGCACAUUGCGCCCGCCAGUAUUCUGGCGGGCAUGCCUGUUCGAGCGUCAUUACAACCCUCAGGCCCCCGGGCCUGGCGUUGGGGAUCGGCGGAAGCCCCCUGCGGGCACAACGCAGUCCCCCAAAUACAGUGGCGGUCCCGCCGCAGCUUCCAUUGCGUAGUAGCUAACACCUCGCAACUGGAGAGCGGCGCGGCCACGCCGUAAAACACCCAACUUCUGAAUGUUGACCUCGAAUCAGGUAGGAAUACCCGCUGAACUUAAGCAUAUCAAUAAGCGGAGGA